AUUGAACACUGGCGGCAUGCCUUACACAUGCAAGUCGAACGGUAACAGGUUAAGCUGACGAGUGGCGAACGGGUGAGUAAUAUAUCGGAACGUGCCCAGUCGUGGGGGAUAACUGCUCGAAAGAGCAGCUAAUACCGCAUACGACCUGAGGGUGAUAGCGGGGGAUCGCAAGACCUCGCGCGAUUGGAGCGGACGAUAUCAGAUUAGGUAGUUGGUGGGGUAAAGGCCCACCAAGCCAACGAUCUGUAGCUGGUCUGAGAGGACGACCAGCCACACUGGGACUGAGACACGGCCCAGACUCCUACGGGAGGCAGCAGUGGGGAAUUUUGGACAAUGGGCGCAAGCCUGAUCCAGCCAUGCCGCGUGCGGGAAGAAGGCCUUCGGGUUGUAAACCGCUUUUGUCAGGGAAGAAAAGGUUCUGGUUAAUACCUGGGACUCAUGACGGUACCUGAAGAAUAAGCACCGGCUAACUACGUGCCAGCAGCCGCAGUAA
rnacentral:rRNA from 1 species